AUUGAACGCUGGCGGCAGGCCUAACACAUGCAAGUCGAACGGUAACAGGAAACAGCUUGCUGUUUCGCUGACGAGUGGCGGACGGGUGAGUCAUGUCUGGGAAACUGCCUGAUGGAGGGGGAUAACUACUGGAAACGGUAGCUAAUACCGCAUAACGUCGCAAGCCCAAAGAGGGGGACCUUCGGGCCUCUUGCCAUCGGAUGUGCCCAGAUGGGAUUAGCUAGUAGGUGGGGUAACGGCUCACCUAGGCGACGAUCCCUAGCUGGUCUGAGAGGAUGACCAGCCGCACUGGAACUGAGACACGGUCCAGACUCCUACGGGAGGCAGCAGUGGGGAAUAUUGCACAAUGGGCGCAAGCCUGAUGCAGCCAUGCCGCGUGUAUGAAGAAGGCCUUCGGGUUGUAAAGUACUUUCAGCGGGGAGGAAGGGAGUAAAGUUAAUACCUUUACUCAUUGACGUUACCCGCAGAAGAAGCACCGGCUAACUCCGUG
rnacentral:rRNA from 1 species